rnacentral:miRNA from 1 species
UUGACCUAUGAAAUGACAGAUG